GACGAACGCUGGCGGCGUGCUUAACACAUGCAAGUCGAACGGAAAGGCCCUGCUUUUGUGGGGUGCUCGAGUGGCGAACGGGUGAGUAACACGUGAGUAACCUGCCCUUGACUUUGGGAUAACUUCAGGAAACUGGGGCUAAUACCGGAUAGGAGCUCCUGCUGCAUGGUGGGGGUUGGAAAGUUUCGGCGGUUGGGGAUGGACUCGCGGCUUAUCAGCUUGUUGGUGGGGUAGUGGCUUACCAAGGCUUUGACGGGUAGCCGGCCUGAGAGGGUGACCGGCCACAUUGGGACUGAGAUACGGCCCAGACUCCUACGGGAGGCAGCAGUGGGGAAUAUUGCACAAUGGGCGGAAGCCUGAUGCAGCAACGCCGCGUGCGGGAUGACGGCCUUCGGGUUGUAAACCGCUUUCGCCUGUGACGAAGCGUGAGUGACGGUAAUGGGUAAAGAAGCACCGGCUAACUACGUGCCAGCAGCCGCGGUGAUACGUAGGGUGCGAGCGUUGUCCGGAUUUAUUGGGCGUAAAGGGCUCGUAGGUGGUUGAUCGCGUCGGAAGUGUAAUCUUGGGGCUUAACCCUGAGCGUGCUUUCGAUACGGGUUGACUUGAGGAAGGUAGGGGAGAAUGGAAUUCCUGGUGGAGCGGUGGAAUGCGCAGAUAUCAGGAGGAACACCAGUGGCGAAGGCGGUUCUCUGGGCCUUUCCUGACGCUGAGGAGCGAAAGCGUGGGGAGCGAACAGGCUUAGAUACCUUGGUAGUCCACGCUGUAAACGGUGGGUACUAGGUGUGGGGUCCAUUCCACGGGUUCCGUGCCGUAGCUAACGCUUUAAGUACCCCGCCUGGGGAGUACGGCCGCAAGGCUAAAACUCAAAGGAAUUGACGGGGCCCCGCACAAGCGGCGGAGCAUGCGGAUUAAUUCGAUGCAACGCGUAGAACCUUACCUGGGUUUGACAUGGAUCGGGAGUGCUCAGAGAUGGGUGUGCCUCUUUUGGGGUCGGUUCACAGGUGGUGCAUGGCUGUCGUCAGCUCGUGUCGUGAGAUGUUGGGUUAAGUCCCGCAACGAGCGCAACCCUUGUUCACUGUUGCCAGCACGUUAUGGUGGGGACUCAGUGGAGACCGCCGGGGUCAACUCGGAGGAAGGUGGGGAUGACGUCAAGUCAUCAUGCCCCUUAUGUCCAGGGCUUCACGCAUGCUACAAUGGCUGGUACAGAGAGUGGCGAGCCUGUGAGGGUGAGCGAAUCUCGGAAAGCCGGUCUCAGUUCGGAUUGGGGUCUGCAACUCGACCUCAUGAAGUCGGAGUCGCUAGUAAUCGCAGAUCAGCAACGCUGCGGUGAAUACGUUCCCGGGGCU
rnacentral:rRNA from 1 species